GGGGAUGCAAGGCAUAGACAGUAGGUCAUUUGCCCCGAUGCAUGUCGAGCGUGAGCAGAACCUCGUAAAACUUUUGCUCAAAUGUUAAUUGCAAAAUUAACCGCUAAAGCGAAAGGUCUAGCUUCUUCAUACUUCGGUAUCGGAGACUUUGCCUUCGCUCAAGUUUCCGCUUCGGCGUAAGCUUGUGUCUUACUUGUAGACUUCCGAUAUACGGGUUAAGGCAUAAAAUUAUCGGGAUAGUUCCGGCGGUUUCCCGACGUCAGAGCGAAACAAAGGGAAUCGAUUGAAAAAUAUUUGGCGCGCUUAAGAAUUUUUCAAUCUAAAACCAAAAAGCGCGAUAAGCAUGUAGAGGUCUUGGCAAUAACUUUCUGCACGGGGAUUCAAUUUCCCCCAUCUCCACCA
rnacentral:tmRNA from 1 species